CCUACGGGUGGCAGCAGUGAGGAAUAUUGGUCAAUGGCCGAGAGGCUGAACCAGCCAAGUCGCGUGAGGGAAGACGGCCCUACGGGUUGUAAACCUCUUUUGUCGGGGAGCAAAGCGAACCACGUGUGGUUCAUUGAGAGUACCCGAAGAAAAAGCAUCGGCUAACCCCGUGCCAGCAGCCGCGGUAAUACGGGGGAUGCGAGCGUUAUCCGGCUUUAUUGGGUUUAAAGGGUGCGCAGGCGGAGGUGCAAGUCAGCGGUCAAAUUUCGGGGCUCAACCCCGUACUGCCGUUGAAACUGGAUCCCUUGAGAGCGCGAGAAGUAUGCGGAAUGCGUGGUGUAGCGGUGAAAUGCAUAGAUAUCACGCAGAACUCCGAUUGCGAAGGCAGCAUACCGGCGCGCAACUGACGCUCAUGCACGAAAGCGUGGGUAUCGAACAGGAUUAGAUACCCUGGUAGUC
rnacentral:rRNA from 1 species